AGCUCAGUCAGUUAGAGCAUGGUGCUGAUAACACCAAGGUCGCAGUUUCAACCCCUGU
rnacentral:tRNA from 1 species